AGUAUACUCCCUCUGUCUGAAAAUACUUGUCUUAUAAAUGAUUGUAUCUAGACUUAUUUUAAUUAUAGAUGCAUUCAUUUUAUCCAUUUAUAAGAUAAGUAUUUCCGGAUGGAGAGAGUAUUAU
rnacentral:pre_miRNA from 1 species